GUAGAAAAAGUGUGAACUAUGUUUAAUUUUGUUUGCUAAUAUUUAUAUUUUUUUCCUAAAAUGAUACUCAUGAGGAUAUAUUAAAGAGAAAUAUGCCAUUCACUAGGGGGUACCUGAAUCGAGGAAACGCCUUGUAGGCCAGAUUCAAUUUAUACUUCUACAGAUUUUGCUAUUCUAUUAUGGUGGUGAGGUCUUUAAGAUGAGGGGCAGAGGAGGAGAGAGAGAAUAUGAUUAUAGUUUAUAUCUUAUAAGAAUACAUUUAUUGUUAAGUAAAUUAAAUCCAGAUACUUAAAAUAUUAGAAUUGUGUGAUGAAAAGCAUUCAGAUGCAGCAUUUUACUUUUUUACAUCACAAAUAAGUAUUUACAUCUCAAAUCAGUUAAAACUGUUCAGACAUUUGUAUUUUGUACUUGAAAUUGAAAUUGUUUAAAUUGAAGGUAAGCAUAAUGAAAUUCUGAUCACUUUCAAUGAACGCUAUACUUAGUCAUGUACUCUGAUUAGGUAAUGCUCUCUUUAUGGUAAAAGCAAAGUUUGGCUUAAUAGAAAGGGUGCUGGUAUUAAAGUUGGAAUAUUUGGAUUUAAAUUCAGUUGGAUUGUGUAAAUUUACAUGGGGUACGUAAUUUAAUCUUUUCAUACUUCAGUAUCCUCAUUUAUAAAACAAGAAUAAUAAUAGUUACCUCACUAGGUUAUUAUGGGGAUGGAAUUUGAACAUAACUCAUGGUGUGUAGUUUAUGUGAAUUUCUUUUUUCAGUUUCUAGAAAUGUUUAAACAUAGAUAGGACAAAAAAAGCAGGGGUGUAGUGGAAAAUUUUUAGGUGACCUUGAAAAUCAUAAUGAACCUUACUAUCUCUGACCAGUGGUUCCUAAAUGGACCUUUGUUGUUACACUGUUUUUUUGUUCAACUCAAUUUUAUUGGAAUUUACUAUGAUACUAUAGUAUGUCCUCAAUGGUAUACAUAGGGAAUGUGAACAUGUGGAGGAUGCAUUUGCCUCUUUUCUGCCUUGCUUUCUUUAUCCCACAGUGUACUGCCACCUUCUGACUAUCUCAUCUGGAGCUUGUCCCUUAUCUCUGUCUACAAUGGUAUGUUCUCUAGUAUCCUAUGCUUUUUCCUUACUAGGGCACUCCAUAACUUCUGAUGUAAGACCUAGCUCAGAGGCUGCUGUGAGGGUAAAUGAAUACAUUAAAGCACUUAGAACAGUGUCUUUGGAUUAAGACCCUUUGCCAUCUGUGAUGAAUGCAAGAAAGGACCACAGCAAGGAUGAAAGUCUUGGUAUUUGGGUUAAAAACAUCAUUGGAAGUGACCUUUGUUAGAUAAGAAACUACAAAGUUAUCCAUUGGAUAAGCAUAUUUUGUACAUGAAAGUACUGAUAAAUAAAAUGUUAUUUGCUGUUUGUCAUA